AAAAACCACAGCAAACCAUGGGAAGAUCAUGGAAAACCCUUGAAAAAGCAUGGAAAACCAUAGAAAACCCAUGAAAACUCAUGGAAAAACCAUGGGAAAAUCAUGGGAAAACCAUGGAAAACCACGGAAAAACCACGAAAACUCACGGAAAACGAGGCAAAAACCCUGGAAAACAACGGAACGCCGCAGAAAACCACGGAAAGCCUCCGGAAAAUUCCCGGACUCACCCUGAGCUCGGCGUCCCAGAGCUUCCAGCCCCUCCGGAGGCGCUUGAGGCCGCGGCCGGCGCCGCCCUCGCCGAGGAUGUUGGGAGCGAAGAGCGACGGGAGGCGCCGGCCCGGCCCCCGCGCCGGGAACGCCGGGAAUGCCGGGAAUGCCGGGAAUGCCGGGAAUGCCGGGAAGCGCCGCUCCCGGCCCCAGCCCGGCCAGCCCCGCGCCCCAAAAUCCUCCCGGAAUUUGCCCUGGAAUUGCUGCUCCCGGGGCGGCUGCGGGCGGCCGUAGAAGUCGCCGGCGUCGGGCUCGGAUUCGCCGGGAUAAUCGUUGGGAUAAUCGUUGGGAUAAUCGGGAUAAUCGUUGGGAUAAUCGUUGGGAUAAUCGCCGGGAUAGUCGAAGGCAGCCCGGUACGGAUCCCGGUCGUUCACGCGGGAGUCGCUGUAGGAUUCGUAGGGAUCGUACCUGACGGGGUAAAUUUGGGAUUGGGAUUCCCUUUAUUCCCAAAAAAAGGGUCCCAGGAAUUGGGGAGCACCUUCUCCUCCCCCAUUCCUGCUGCCAUUUCCAAGCUCAUUCCCAUUCUCCCAAUCCCAUUCCCCCAUUUCUGUUCCCAUUCCCAAUCCCACAUUCCCGUUCCUGUUCCCGUCCCCACCCCACAUUCCCAAUCCCCAUCCCCCAUUCCCAAAUUCCCCAUUCCCAAUCCCCCAUUCCCAUUCCCCAUUCCCAAAUUCCCAUUCCCACCUCUCCGGNNNNNNNNNNCUCUCCGGGGCCGCUCCGUAGCCCCGUCCCGGCAGCCCUUCGGCCCCAUCCUGGCCGGCUCCCGGCUCCGGCCGCGGCUUCCCGGCGCCGCCCUCGGGGGCCCCGUCGGGCUCGGAGCCGCCCAAAUCCCAGGAAUUGGCGGCGCCGAAGCCGAAGGCGCCGGAGCCGUCCUGGCCGUAGCCGUAGCCCUGGAAGCCUGCGCCGCGCCGGGAAGGGGGAAUCACCCGGAAUUCCGCGCCCGGAAUUCCCCACCUGGAACUCCCCACCCGGAAUUCCCCACCCGGAACUCCCCACCCGGAAUUCUGUACCGGGAAUUCCCCACCCGGAAUUCCCCUCUGGGACUCACCAGGAAUUCCCCACCCGGAAUUCCGCACCCGGAAUUCCCC
rnacentral:lncRNA from 1 species